rnacentral:rRNA from 1 species
UACAGAGGUCUCGAGCGUUGUUCGGAUUCAUUGGGCGUAAAGGGCGCGUAGGCGGCGGGGUAAGUCUGGUGUGAAAUCUCGGAGCUCAACUCCGAAAUUGCACUGGAUACUGCUCUGCUAGAGGGCUGGAGAGGAGAUCGGAAUUCACGGUGUAGCAGUGAAAUGCGUAGAUAUCGUGAGGAAGACCAGUGGCGAAGGCGGAUCCGCUGGACAGCUCCUGACGCUGAGGCGCGAAGGCUAGGGGAGCAAACGGG